CUCCCCCGGUGCAGCGCAACGCCGCGCGGCCUCUCCCCCGCCACGUGACCCACGGAGCGCGCGCGCCGCCGAGCGCCGUUCCACGCGACCCGGCGCGCCCUUCCACCCGCUCUCCCUCCACGUGACGGAGGGAGACAAAGACGCUCCCUCGGCACGUGACCAAGGUUUCCCAGCGAGGCGGGGAGCGGGAAGGGGAGUUGGCCCUGCCCACAGAAGGGGAGGUGCUUAGCUCCUCCGGGGGCGGGGCUUCGCGUUCCAGGCGGAACAGCCCUGACUGUUACCUUUUUGGAAAGAUCAACAAUUUGAAACUUCACUUCAAAGUUUUCUUACCACUGCCUCGUUCUCUGGAACAGACGGAUUUAACAUUGUGGGAAGGUUGCCUUGGAUCCAGAAAGGAGACAUGUGCCUGAGAUCCUACUGCAUACACUGACCACUCCUGACCAUAGGCCAGACACACAUUCUCCCUGCAAUACGGCAACUUGGUGGACAGUAGCUGGAAAUAAACGGAGAAACAAGUCAACUGAAAAAUAUGUGGGGGAGGAGUGACUGAACAAAAUCUAAACAUCCCUGAAAUCAUAUUUGAGGAAACUAUACUCAAGCAGUAACAUGGAUUUGGAAACUCUUCUGGAAGAAGGCAGUGCACUGAGUAACACUCAUUGAGAGUGUAACUUGUGUUUAACGUCUAAGCUGGGCCCUAAAACAAAAUGGUAAAAAGGUUAUGGAUGUCCAUCAUCUGCAAUGUCUGCAACUUCAGAGUCAACUGCUGGUGUUACCAGCAGUGCUGCAAUUCAACUACAUCACACACUUGCUUUUCUUGAGACGCUUGCUUCCCAUUUUGUGGACACUCUCCUCUCCACUACCCCAAAUCUAGGCUCACUGAAGGCUGAGACCAAUAGUAAAGGAAAGCUAUAAUCAGCUAGAAAGAAAUGCGAAAGCAGGACUCGUCUCCCUGCAAGACCAACGCUGUUCAGAGUUGACUCAAGAUUGAAAAUAAGCAGCUUUUAAAAGCACCACUGAGGCUGCAGGUGGUUUUGGAUGGAGCUGCACCCACAGUCGAGCCCAAAUCUCCCUCUUUACAUACAGAUGAAUGGUAUCCAAUAUCUAAUGACUACAAAGACAUUUACUAACUGGUAUUAAACCUUACCUACUAAAGGAGCAACAUCAAGUACUGCGCCUCAUUGUUCAAUGUUGAAGAGAGCAUGUUCCUGGAGACUUCCCACCUCCACAAUCAAGAUUUGUUUUAUUUUAUUCAGUUUUCCAGUGACAACUUCUACAAUAAGCACGGAUAUGCAGAAACUUUCCCUAGUGGGAUACAGUCUCUUCCUGAUGCACCUAAGAACUAGAUCUUUAAACAGGUAUCCGCUAACAGCUUUUAAUGUGUAUGCGGUGAGUGUGAUAUUCAUCACUAUGAUCAGAUGAACAUGGCACUUCAGAGCAUGGAGACUGGGAAGUUGCUGUGCUGCAUAUCCAUGCAACAAACGGUGGUAGCUGGAUUCAUUCUGCAGCCGAACCUCUCUGCCUUUCAGAUAGUACACCAGAGACUUUUUUACUGGGGG